GAUCCUGGCUUAGGACGAACGCUGGCGGCGUGCCUAACACAUGCAAGUCGAACGGGGAUAGAUUGAAGGUUUACCUGAUAGUCUAUUCUAGUGGCGGACGGGUGAGUAACGCGUGAGCAACCUGCCUUGUACUGGGGGAUAACGUCGAGAAAUCGGCGCUAAUACCGCAUAAUACUGCGAUAUCACAUGGUAAUGCAGUCAAAACUCCGGUGGUACAAGAUGGGCUCGCGUCCAAUUAGCUAGUUGGUGAGGUAAUGGCCCACCAAGGCGACGAUUGGUAGCCGAACUGAGAGGUUGAUCGGCCACAUUGGGACUGAGACACGGCCCAGACUCCUACGGGAGGCAGCAGUGGGGAAUAUUGCGCAAUGGAGGGAACUCUGACGCAGCAACGCCGCGUGAAGGAUGAAGGUUUUCGGAUUGUAAACUUCUUUGAUCGGGGGCGAAAAUGACGGUACCCGAGGAACAAGCCACGGCUAACUACGUGCCAGCCGCGGC
rnacentral:rRNA from 1 species